GUUACAGGUGCUGCCGUGGUCACCUUUUUUUGAGUGUGUGUUUGUUUUAAAUGUGGGGGAUUUGAACUCAGGUCCUCGUGCUAGCUCAGGAAGUGCUGUUACCCACCCAGACAUCUUCCCAGCCUGAGUGGGUUUCCCAACUCCCAUUCCCUACCCCGACCCUGACUUUAUAUCCAGGCUGUUCUAAAACUUCAUGUAUCUUCACAGAACUUGAACCCAGAAUGGUCCUCUUGCCACACACCUUGAGACACCAGCCACCCAUACCUAGGGCUACGUAAGACCCUGCUUUAACUUUCCUCUCAAAAUACGUAUGGAGGGGCGCAUGCACAGAGGUCUGAGACACUCUGUAGGAGUAAACAGGGUUUUAGCCUCUCGGAGUUUGGCUUUGCCUGUGGGCCAUACUUGUUUGUUUACUUCUGAGGGAAGGGCGUUUGAGACAGUUCACUGUGUAGUCUAGGCUGACCUAUUUGGGACAGGAGCUCCUUGUGUAGUCCAGGCUGGCCUUGAGCUAGAAAUUUUUUUCCCCUUAUCAUCCCAAGUGCUGGGAUUCCAGGUCUGUACUACCAUGCACACCCUGAAAAUUGUUUUUAAAAACUUAUCUCUAAUCUUUGUGUAGGUGUGAGUGCCCACACAUGUGUCUGGGGCCCUCAGAGGCCAGAGGAGAGCGUCAGGUUCUCUGAACUGGAGUUACGGGAGCUUGGAAUCAGCCGUGUGGUGCUGAGUUCUCGCCCCAGUCCUGUGCAAGAGCAGCCAGUGCGCUUAACCGCUGGAUCCUCUCUCCACACCCCUGACAUUUUUCUUUUUUGAGUCAAAGUUUAAUAAUCUUUUUUUAAUGCUUGGUGUUUGCUGUCACUAGAAAGUCCUUCCCAACCCCCAGGGCGUGAGGGAUUCACAAUAUUCUGGUGCCUACUUCGUAUGUCUUUGAGCUAGAGUCUUACCAUAUAGUCCAUUGCUGAUCUCCAGCUCGAGAGCCUCUUUGCCUUGGCCUCCUCCAUACCUGGAUUAUAGUCAUAUAGCACCUCACUUGGCUCAUUUCAACUUGGGGUGUGUGUGUAUGUGUGUGUGUAUGUUGUUGUUGUUCAGCUUGGGGUGUGGUGUGUGUGUAUGUGUGUAUGUUGUUGUUGUUGAUGUUGAAAUCAAUGAAAGCCUUAACCAGGUUCGUGGUGCACACCAGCACUUGGGAAACAGAGGCAGAUAGAUUUAUUUCAUUGAGUUCAAGCAAGGGUAGCCUUUUCUACAGAGUGAAUUCUAGGCUGCAAGGGCUACAUGAUGAGAUCCUGGUCUCAAAAACAAAACAAAACAAAACAACCAAGUCAGCUAAGAGCCUUUUGCAUACCAGAGUACUCGCUCUAGGGCUGGUGAGAUGGCUCAGUGGGUUAGAGCACCCGACUGCUCUUCCAAAGGUCCGGAGUUCAAAUCCCACAACCAUCCAUUAAGGAGAUCUGACUCCCUCUUCUGGAGUGUCUGAAGACAGCUACAGUGUACUUACACAUAAUAAAUAAAUAAAUCU
rnacentral:lncRNA from 1 species